UACGUAGGGUGCAAGCGUUGUCCGGAAUUAUUGGGCGUAAAGAGCUCGUAGGCGGUCUGUCGCGUCUGCUGUGAAAACUCGGGGCUUAACUCCGGGCCUGCAGUGGGUACGGGCAGACUAGAGUGCGGUAGGGGAGACUGGAAUUCCUGGUGUAGCGGUGAAAUGCGUAGAUAUCUGGAGGAAUACCGGUGGCGAAGGCGGCAUCCUGGACCGGCAUUGACGCUGAUGAGCGAAAGCUAGGGGAGCAAACGGGG
rnacentral:rRNA from 1 species